rnacentral:misc_RNA from 1 species
AACGCACAUUGCGCCCAUUGGUAUUCCGAUGGGCAUGCCUGUUCGAGCGUCAUUAUCCUCUCUCAAACCUCGGGUUUGGUGUUGGACCGGGUUGUUUGCCUCCCCUGAACAACUGGUCUCAAAGACAAUGACGGCGUCCGUGGGACCCUCGGUGCAACGAGCUUCUUUGUGAGCACGCGUCGAGUUUCAAGGACCCUCCGGGCCGGUCUCCCUUUUACAUUUCUAAGGUUGACCUCGGAUCAGGUAGGAAUACCCGCUGAACUUAA